rnacentral:rRNA from 1 species
UACGUAGGGGGCAAGCGUUGUCCGGAUUUAUUGGGCGUAAAGAGCGUGUAGGCGGCUAGAUAGGUCCGUUGUGAAAACUCGAGGCUCAACCUCGAGACGUCGAUGGAAACCAUCUGGCUAGAGUCCGGAAGAGGAGAGUGGAAUUCCUGGUGUAGCGGUGAAAUGCGCAGAUAUCAGGAAGAACACCGAUGGCGAAGGCAGGUCUCUGGGCCACUACUGACGCUGAGAAGCGAAAGCAUGGGGAGCGAACAGG